GAAAUGCGAUAAGUAGUGUGAAUUGCAGAAUUCAGUGAAUCAUCGAAUCUUUGAACGCACAUUGCGCCCCUUGGUAUUCCAUGGGGCAUGCCUGUUCGAGCGUCAUUUGUACCCUCAAGCUCUGCUUGGUGUUGGGUGUUUGUCCCCGUCUCCGCGCGUGGACUCGCCCCAAAGUGAUUGGCAGCCGGCGUACUGGUCCCGGAGCGCAGCACAUGUCGCGCAAACGAGUGCCUUGGUACGGCGGCGUCCAUAAGCCCCUCUCUCACGCUCUUGACCUCGGACCAGGUAGGGAUACCCGCUGAACUUACGC
rnacentral:misc_RNA from 1 species